rnacentral:lncRNA from 1 species
CCUCAUUAACCCAUGUAUUUAGGGUUUUCUAGACUAAUAUAUAUGAUGUAAGAAUCCUACAUUGAAUGCAACUAAGGCUGCGGUUUGUGCAGCCAAAACCUUAUCUUUAUGAAUAUCAUUUCAGAAUCAUUUAGAUCUUGGUGACAACUUAAAUCUCUUCUCCUCUCUUUACUUUCUUGUUCAAUAAAGCUUAAUAAGCUAUCUCUAUUUCUGUUUAAAUAAAGCCCUUUGAGCAUUUUCUACUUUUGUUAUCAUGGUAUCAGAGUUUCAGUCGAUUUUCAUGGGUUACCCUAUCUUUUUCUAGCUUCUGCACCCUCUAUCUAAGCCAUCGACAAUAUGCUGGUUCAUGGGCGAAAUCCAAAGAAAAGAAAGAGACUUUCUGCAAUUGUGCUGCAGAUCUGUGUUGAUAUGACAGUGAAGUUUAAGCUCUACUCUUUCCACCACGGUCGCCUGAUAAGAAAAGCCAGAAGCAGAUCUUCCAAUCGAAGAAGAAGAGGAAGUUGGGCUCCAGCAAAUCAACAUGUUAUUGGGCCUUCCAGAUAAAAGCCCAUCUGCUAAAAAAAAAUAUGGAAACACGAGAAGAAGCGCUUGUGGGAACAAAAGCAGGGGAAGCUCCUUCAUGUCUCUUCAUCAGCGCAUAUCUUCUGGUAUGUUAUGAAUGAUUUAGUGCUAUAGGCUUGGAAUCUGGAAGGAAAAUGAAUAGGCUAGUUCUGGGUUUGAUAGCGAUGAGAUAAAUGGCGACAAGUUUUGUUUUGAUGAGUACACACAAGAUGUUUGGUUAAAUGUCCAGAAGAAAAACAGAUUGUGAAAAUGAGGAGUUUUGAUGGCAGAUGAAUAGGAAAUAGGGAGUUGGGUUUAGGCUGUUGUAGGAUGGAUAUUCUCUUUUGCCGUGAGAUAGCUUAGUCCAGUUAGGAGGAUAAAAAGAAAAAUCCCCAACUUGUUGUAAGACAAAUAGGUCAAAAGAACCUGAAGAUGUUCUCACACUUAUGUCUAUUCUCCAAGCUGAAUAGAGUCAUCUACCUGCCUUCCAUGGAUCUUCAACUACUCAUGCUCCUUUCAAAGCCAGCUCCAUGUGCAUCUUCAAACUUGGCUCAGCUGCUUGCUUCACCACCCGAUGCCAAGUUUGCGGGAGGAUAUUGAAGCCCACAUACAAGCCCAACUUAUAUCUACUAAGAAGCCUCAUUAACCCAUGUAUUUAGGGUUUUCUAGACUAAUAUAUAUGAUGUAAGAAUCCUACAUUGAAUGCAACUAAGGCUGCGGUUUGUGCAGCCAAAACCUUAUCUUUAUGAAUAUCAUUUCAGAAUCAUUUAGAUCUUGGUGACAACUUAAAUCUCUUCUCCUCUCUUUACUUUCUUGUUCAAUAAAGCUUAAUAAGCUAUCUCUAUUUCUGUUUAAAUAAAGCCCUUUGAGCAUUUUCUACUUUUGUUAUCA